CAUGAACAUUUCACAUUCAAAACAUCACAGAUGACACUGUGAUGUGGAAAGAGAAGAUGAUAGCAUUAAAUGUCCCAACAAGGCAAUUCGGGAUUGAAUCUGGUCUGCUGAGACACCCAGCAUCAAGUUUCUGGCCUAAGACUCCGAGAUUGAUGGUCCUGUGCGCAAAUGAAAGAAGAAGAGUAACGAUAACAGAAAAAUCCCAGGAUGCUCUAAAUUCAGUGUUAGGGGUUAAAGAAUGGAGAGUGAAAAGGAGCAAGGUCUUCAUUGGACUUUGCUGACACUGGUCUUGGCUGAUGACACUGUGGCAUGGGUUUUUCUUCACCCACCUUCAUUUGUCAUGACUUCUUAGAGAGAAAUGCACCAC
rnacentral:lncRNA from 1 species